rnacentral:tRNA from 1 species
GCCGGUUUAGCUCAGUGGCAGAGCGUCUGUCUUGUAAACAGAAGGUCGUAGGUUCGAUCCCUGCAUCCGGCA